CCUACGGGAGGCAGCAGUGAGGAAUAUUGGUCAAUGGGCGGGAGCCUGAACCAGCCAAGCCGCGUGAGGGAAGAAGGUACAGCGUAUCGUAAACCUCUUUUGUCAGGGAACAAAGGCGGGGACUAGUCCCCGGAUGAGGGUACCUGAAGAAAAAGCAUCGGCUAACUCCGUGCCAGCAGCCGCGGUAAUACGGAGGAUGCGAGCGUUAUCCGGAUUUAUUGGGUUUAAAGGGUGCGUAGGCGGACGCUUAAGUCAGCGGUAAAAUUGCGGGGCUCAACCUCGUCGAGCCGUUGAAACUGGGUGCCUUGAGUGGGCGAGAAGUACGCGGAAUGCGUGGUGUAGCGGUGAAAUGCAUAGAUAUCACGCAGAACUCCGAUUGCGAAGGCAGCGUACCGGCGCCCAACUGACGCUGAAGCACGAAGGCGUGGGUAUCGAACAGGAUUAGAUACCCGGGUAGUC
rnacentral:rRNA from 1 species